rnacentral:lncRNA from 1 species
ACUCACUGUGAAGGUGUGUGGCUUCACCCCUGAAGUCAGCGAGACCACGAACCCACUGGGAGGAAUGAACAACUCCGGACGUGUCACCUUUAAGAGCUGUAACACUCACUGCGAAGGUCUGCGGCUUCACUCCUGAAGUCCAGCGAGACCACGAACCCACUGGAAGGAAGAAACUCUGGACACAUCUGAAGGAACAAACUCCGAACACACUAUCUUUAAGAACUGUAACACUCACCACGAGGGUCCGCGGCUUCAUUCUUGAAGUCAGCGAGAUCAAGAACCCACCCGAAGGAACCAAUUCCGGACACAGGGUGGAGGAGGGGGUGAAGGUUAAUGUGCAAUUUCUAGAUGAGAAUGCCUGUGGCUUCUCUUAGCCACAUGCAAGUGAACAAGCACUGGCAGAGAGACAGAUGGCUUAGCUUGCCCAGAGCAGCCCCCGUGCUCUUAGGGAAGGAAAAGAGCCCACUUCACUUCACUUCAGUUCCUCCUUUCCCCAGCAAGAUCUGGCACAUUUCAGAAGUUGCUGACGUGUUGAUGCCUGCUAAAACACGACGUGGGAAGAAGAAUGAAUGUGGGCAAGCUCGGCUAGCCACUCAGAGGGAAAUGAUCUCAUUUCUCCUGCUGGGCAACCCCCAGUUGCUGGAUUGUCUUAAUGGCACUUAGAAAACCAGACUUACAUGGGAAAGUAAGUUAUCCAAGCAGACACCCAGAAUUGCUUGGCAUACUGUAUAACAACUGGCAAAUUAACCUUCUCACACUCGGAUAAUACUGCAGAAUUUAAG